rnacentral:rRNA from 1 species
ACCCAGACUCCUACGGGAGGCAGCAGUGAGGAAUAUUGGUCAAUGGCUGGAAGGCUGAACCAGCCAAGCCGCGUGAAGGACGAAGGUGCCAAGCAUUGUAAACUUCUUUUGUCAAGGGACAAAAUCAGGCUCGAGAGCCUGACCGAGGGUACUUGAAGAAAAAGCAUCGGCUAACUCCGUGCCAGCAGCCGCGGUAAUACGGAGGAUGCGAGCGUUAUCCGGAUUUAUUGGGUUUAAAGGGUGCGUAGGUUGUUUUUAAAGUCAGCGGUGAAAGUUUGUGGCUCAACCAUAAAAGUGCCGUUGAAACUGGAAGACUUGAGUGUGUUUGAGGUAGGCGGAAUGCGUGGUGUAGCGGUGAAAUGCAUAGAUAUCACGCAGAACUCCGAUUGCGAAGGCAGCUUACUAAGCCAUAACUGACACUGAAGCACGAAAGCGUGGGGAUCAAACAGGAUUAGAUACCCGGGUA